GAUGAACGCUGGCGGCGCGCCUAACACAUGCAAGUCGAACGAUUAAAGCACCUUCGGGUGUGUAUAAAGUGGCGAACGGCUGAGUAACACGUGGGCAACCUGCCCCUUUCAUUGGGAUAGCCACGGGAAACCGUGGAUAAUACCGAAUACUUCGAAACUUCCGCAUGGAAGACUCGAGAAAGCUCCGGCGGAGAGGGAUGGGCCCGCGGCCUGUUAGCUUGUUGGUGGGGUAACGGCAUACCAAGGCAAUGAUGGGUAGCUGGGUUGAGAGACCGACCAGCCAGAUUGGGACUGAGACACGGCCCAGACUCCUACGGGAGGCAGCAGUGGGGAAUCUUGCACAAUGGGCGAAAGCCUGAUGCAGCGACGCCGCGUGCGGGAUGAAGGCCUUCGGGUUGUAAACCGCUUUCAGCAGGGACGAGGCGAAAGUGACGGUACCUGCAGAAGAAGCCCCGGCUAACUACGUG
rnacentral:rRNA from 1 species